GAUGAACGCUGGCGGCAGGCUUAACACAUGCAAGUCGAGCGAGCGGCGGACGGGUGAGUAAUGUCUGGGAAACUGCCUGACGGAGGGGGAUAACUACUGGAAACGGUAGCUAAUACCGCAUACCAUCAGAUGUGCCCAGAUGGGAUUAGCUAGUAGGUGGGGUAAUGGCUCACCUAGGCGACGAUCCCUAGCUGAUCUGAGAGGAUGACCAGCCACACUGGAACUGAGACACGGUCCAGACUCCUACGGAAGGCAGAAGUGGGGAAUAUGGGGCAAUGGAGGAAAGCCUGAUGCAGCCAUGCCGCGUGUGUGAAGAAGGCCUUCGGGUUGUAAAGCACUUUCGGCGAGGAGGCGUUACGCACAUAGGAAGCACCGGCUAACUCCGUGCCAGCAGCCGCGGUAAUAC
rnacentral:rRNA from 1 species